GACGAACGCUGGCGGCGUGCUUAACACAUGCAAGUCGAACGGAAAGGCCCCUUUGGGGGUACUCGAGUGGCGAACGGGGGAGUAACACGUGAGUAACCUGCCCUUGACUUCGGGAUAACUUCAGGAAACUGGGGCUAAUACCAGAUAGGGAUCCUUGCUGCAUGGUGGGGGUUGGAAAGCUUCGGCGGUUUUGGCUGGACUCGCUGCGUAUCAGCUUGUUGGUGUGGUAGUGUCUUACCAAGGCUAUGACGGGUAGCCGGCCUGAGAGGGCGACCGGCCACAUUGGCACUGAGAUACGGCACAGACUCCUACGGGAGGGAGAAGUGGGGAAUACUGAACGAUGAGCGGAAGCCUAAUGCAGCAAGGCUGCGGGCGGGAUGACGGUCUUCGGGUUGUAAACCGAUUUCAGCAGGGGCGAAGCUUGUGGUGACGGUACCUGAAGAAGAAGCACCGGCUAACUACGUG
rnacentral:rRNA from 1 species